rnacentral:rRNA from 1 species
UGCGUAGGCGGGUUUCUAAGUCAGAGGUGAAAGCCUGGAGCUCAACUCCAGAACUGCCUUUGAUACUGGAAGUCUUGAGUAUGGCAGAGGUGAGUGGAACUGCGAGUGUAGAGGUGAAAUUCGUAGAUAUUCGCAAGAACACCGGUGGCGAAGGCGGCUUUCUGGACUGUAACUGACACUGAGGCUCGAAAGCGUGGGGAGCGAACA